GACGAACGCUGGCGGCGUGCUUAACACAUGCAAGUCGAACGGAAAGGCCCUGCUUGCAGGGUACUCGAGUGGCGAACGGGUGAGUAACACGUGGGUGAUCUGCCCUGCACUUCGGGAUAAGCUUGGGAAACUGGGUCUAAUACCGGAUAGGAGCCAUCUUUAGUGUGGUGGUUGGAAAGUUUUUUCGGUGUAGGAUGAGCUCGCGGCCUAUCAGCUUGUUGGUGGGGUAAUGGCCUACCAAGGCGGCGACGGGUAGCCGGCCUGAGAGGGUGUACGGCCACGAUAGGACGGAGAAACGGGCCAGGCUACUACCGGAGGCAGCAGUGGGGGAUAUUGAACAAUGGGCGCGAGGCUGAAGCAGAGGCCCCGCGUGAGGGAUGAAGGCCUUCGGGUUGUAAACUGCUGUCGCUAGGGAAGAAGCUUUUUUGUGACGGUACCUAGAUAAGAAGCACCGGCUAACUACGUG
rnacentral:rRNA from 1 species